GGGCAGAUACCCAAGUGGCCAAAGGGGGCAGACUGUAAAUCUGCUGGCUUUACGCCUUCGCUGGUUCGAAUCCAGCUCUGCCCA
rnacentral:tRNA from 1 species